ACUCAAAGGAAUUGACGGGGGCCCGCACAAGCGGUGGUGCAUGUGGUUCAAUUCGACGCAACGCGAAGAACCUUACCCAGGUUUGACAUGCUGGUGGUAAGAACCGGAAACGGGGAUGACCUCGCAAGGGGAGCCAGCACAGGUGCUGCAUGGCUGUCGUCAGCUCGUGCCGUGAGGUGUUGGGUUAAGUCCCGCAACGAGCGCAACCCUUGCCUCCAGUUGCCAACGGGUCAUGCCGGGAACUCUGGAGGGACUGCCCAGGAUAACGGGGAGGAAGGUGGGGAUGACGUCAAGUCAGCAUGGCCCUUAUACCUGGGGCUACACACGUGCAACAAUGGCCGGUACAAAGGGCUGCAAACCCGUAAGGGGGAGCCAAUCCCAGAAAACCGGCCUCAGUUCAGAUUGAGGUCUGCAAUUCGACCUCAUGAAGGCGGAAUCGCUAGUAAUCGCGGAUCAGCACGCCGCGGUGAAUACGUUCCCGGGCCUUGUACACACCGCCCGU
rnacentral:rRNA from 1 species